UUACAGUCUUUUUUAUUAUUAUUAUUAUUACAGCCGGGGGUACACUAUUAUUUACAGGGAAGGACUUAAAUUACAUUUAAUGUAACAAUGUCCCUCACAACAACAGUACCACUGGUAGAGUCGGAAACUGUUGCUUUGAGAGCGCGUAAGGUACUUUGACCCAAACUUAGGGCCUGCCUUAUUUGCAGAUGCCGCGUCGCCUCCAUCAAUAAAAAAUUCAAAUCAUUCCACUAGCCGCAGCACAAAGAGUGUCUGGCCGUACACGCUGCCGGCCCAAAAUAUAGAGCACGUGAAUAAAACGAAGAAAAGGAUGGAGGACAUUUAGGUAAAUAAAGUGAAAAAUGAGUGGCAAAAGAGAUGAAUAGGAGAUUGGACUUCUUGUACGAAAGGAGAGAAAGGGUCCACGUCGCCCAACUGGCUUUUAAACCUCGUACCCCUGCCGACGAGUACACGUAUUUCAUUCAUUUCUUAUCAACUUAACCCCCACCCAUCAAAGUUUUAAAUUAUUUUUGGACAAUCAUUUAUUCUGAAAUAUUAUAUUUUAUUUAGUAUUUGAAAAAUCUCUUUGGGAUGAUGAGCAUUGAGCAUAAAGGCCCUCUGCUGCCAUUAAUUUAAAUAAUCAAAAAAUUAAAUAAUGAUAUGAGGGAAGGAAAGAAAGAAUUAUCUUCAAUUGUGAUAAACAAUCAUUAAAUCUUUCACUUAGCUAAAAUUUAAAAUUUAAUAUGUAUAUGUAAUGUCAUCCAAGACAUUUGAGGGGAAAAAAAAUCGAUUUCUAUAUAAUAAAACUUUUUUUUUUUUGGGUGCUGACACAUAUUGUAUGAGAUCGAUUGAGACCUCCAUUAAUCAACUAAUCAAGCACAAUAGUCGUGAACGUGAGACACACAACCCAAGCGUUUACUUUCAAUACGUAACGAACCUAAUAAAUCAACUUUGAAUUUGCCUUUUUGAUAAAUAAAAAGCUCAAAUGUACUAUAUAAAGUGUUAAUUUGUUGCCUUAUCGGUUUUCAUGAAAUUCAACAUAGAAAGAACCUUUUAAAAAAAAAAUAGAGAAAAAUAACAACCUACAUCGAUGUAAAAUAAUUUCGAUAGACUUGUAAUUAAAUUUAACCAGCAUUCUUUUAAUCAUAAUACUUAUAAUUUAUUAAAUUACACAGUUUGUUUCCUUUUUUGCUUUAUUUUAAGAUUAAAAAAGUUAUAUGGUUUAAGCAAUGACGUUUUAUGUGGCACUCCUAACGUACCGUAGAGGAACACAUGUCAUACCAGUCCCAAUUCUCAUUCCGUAAUACACGAGCUUAUAUGCACGUGGCAGCAAGGGGUUCGUCAGCUCAGAUAAUUUUUUUUGGCCCUUUUGAUGGCAGCUUGGAGCAACAUUGAUUGAUUUAAUCGUGUGGGUUU
rnacentral:lncRNA from 1 species